rnacentral:rRNA from 1 species
AGUGAACGCUGGCGGUAGGCCUAACACAUGCAAGUCGAACGGCAGCACAGUAAGAGCUUGCUCUUACGGGUGGCGAGUGGCGGACGGGUGAGGAAUACAUCGGAAUCUACUUUUUCGUGGGGGAUAACGUAGGGAAACUUACGCUAAUACCGCAUACGACCUACGGGUGAAAGCAGGGGAUCUUCGGACCUUGCGCGAUUGAAUGAGCCGAUGUCGGAUUAGCUAGUUGGCGGGGUAAAGGCCCACCAAGGCGACGUUCCGUAGCUGGUCUGAGAGGAUGAUCAGCCACACGGGAAAUGGGACACGGUCCCGACUCCUACGGGAGGCAGGAGUGGGGAAUAUUGGACAAUGGGCGGAAGCCUGAUCCAGCCAAUCCGCGUGGGUGAAGAAGGGCUUCGGGUUGUAAAGCCCUUUUGUUGGGGAAGAAAAGCAGCAGGUUAAUACCCCGCUGUUCUGACGGUACCCAAAGAAUAAGCACCGGCUAACUUCGUG